rnacentral:rRNA from 1 species
CUACGGGCGGCAGCAGUGGGGAAUAUUGCACAAUGGAGGAAACUCUGAUGCAGCAACGCCGCGUGGAGGAUGACGCAUUUCGGUGUGUAAACUCCUUUUAUAUGUCAAGAAAAUGACGGUAGCAUAUGAAUAAGCACCGGCUAACUCCGUGCCAGCAGCCGCGGUAAUACGGAGGGUGCAAGCGUUACUCGGAAUCACUGGGCGUAAAGGACGGGUAGGCGGGAUAUCAAGUCAGGUGUGAAAUCCUACAGCUUAACUGUAGAGCUGCACUUGAAACUGGUAACCUAGAGUAUGGGAGGGGGAGAUGGAAUUAGUGGUGUAGGGGUAAAAUCCGUAGAUAUCACUAGGAAUACCUAAAGCGAAGGCGAUCUCCUGGAACAUUACUGACGCUAAGGCGUGAAAGCGUGGGGAGCAAACAGGAUUAGAUACCCGCGUAGUC